UACAGAGACUGCGAGCGUUAUUCGGAUUCACUGGGCGUAAAGGGUGCGCAGGUGGGUUUGCAAGUUUGAUGUGAAAGCCCCGGGCUUAACCCGGGAAUGGCAUUGAAUACUGCAGAUCUGGAGGAUUGGAGGGGGGACUGGAAUUCUUGGUGUAGCAGUGAAAUGCGUAGAUAUCAAGAGGAACACCAGUGGCGAAGGCGAGUCCCUGGACAAUACCUGACACUGAGGCACGAAAGCCAAGGGAGCAAACAGG
rnacentral:rRNA from 1 species